CGCGGGGUGGAGCAGCUCGGUAGCUCGCUGGGCUCAUAACCCAGAGGUCGCAGGUUCAAAUCCUGCCCCCGCUA
rfam:Cellulomonas sp. B6 contig_137, whole genome shotgun sequence.